rnacentral:rRNA from 1 species
AUCAUGGCUCAGGAUGAACGCUAGCUACAGGCUUAACACAUGCAAGUCGAGGGGCAGCAGGGAUUUAGCUUGCUAAAUCCGCUGGUCGACCGGCGCACGGGUGCGUAACGCGUAUCCAACUUUCCCGUUACUCUCGGAUAGCCUUCCGAAAGGGAGAUUAAUACGAGAUGGUGUUCAGUUUCCGCAUGUUUACUGAACUAAAGAUUCAUCGGUAACGGAUAGGGAUGCGUGACAUUAGAUAGUUGGGGGGGUAACGGCCCACCAAGUCAACGAUGUCUAGGGGUUCUGAGAGGAAGGUCCCCCACACUGGAACUGAGACACGGUCCAGACUCCUACGGGAGGCAGCAGUGAGGAAUAUUGGUCAAUGGGCGCAGGCCUGAACCAGCCAAGUAGCGUGAAGGAUGAAGGUUCUAUGGAUUGUAAACUUCUUUAUACGGGAAUAACAUCACCUACGUGUAGGUGCCUGCAUGUACCGUAUGAAUAAGCAUCGGCUAACUCCGUG